rnacentral:lncRNA from 1 species
CUCCCCUUGUUGGCUCGGCCAUGAGCUCACCACCAUGUCCUAUGCAAAUAUCCGUGUUGGGCGAAUCAUCCCGCUCAGCGCCAUGUCUGUUUGAUCCGGCAGCAAAUCCUAUACCACCAGCGGCGAAGCGGACCAAAAUCUAGCAAGGCCACCUAUGCUUCUUUGUGGUUGUCAAUUCCCUCUUGAUAAGAGAACUUCAUAUACACCAUGGAACCCAAAACGAGAGUUAUUCACCUACACAACCAUGGAAAGGUAUACAAGCGAAAACGAAUCUUUGUUUCAGCAAAUUGACAUAUGCAUUCAAAUCUCGCGUUGCUAAAUCAUUAUGUACAAACAUACGCAGAAAGGAGUCUCUUACGGUGGGUCGAUCUCCUGAAGAAAUACAUAAGUGAGUUGCUGAAGAACUAUCAUGGACCACUCACACAACAGCUUGACCAGAUGCACGUAAAAAUGAUGAGAUGCAAUUCCAAAACAAUGAGAUGCGAGAGCAUAUCAGAAAAAUCAAGAAGCCUCAAUAUACCCUUUUAGCUUGUAUUAUUACUAAUCUCAUUCUCCUAGCUGGAUCAGUGAUAACAUUUCUUAUUAUGAGAGUCAUUGUAGUGGUUAUGGUUUUAGUUUGGGCAAUUAGGUAGAUCGGGUAACAAUCAGUAGUCAUUGUUUAGCCUUCAUGUCGGUAUUAUAUUUUCUUUGUAAUAUAUAUGUAUCCGGAUCAAGUUAGAUAAAUAAAAUAUAAC